GUAAUAAUGGCCACACGAGGGGUUUUCUGUCUUUUACUUUCAAUCCGUGAAAAUGACCUUCCCGGGAAGGGGCGGGAAUACGACAAUAAGAGGAGAAGACCCUAUGGAGCUUUAAUUAACCGACCCAAAGAGAUCUUAUUAAUCAACCGACAGGAACAACAUACCUCUACCAUGGGCCGACAAUUUAGGUUGGGGUGACCUCGGAGAACAGAACAACCUCCGAGUGAUUUAAAUCAAGACUAACCAGUCGAAAGUAUUACAUCACUUAUUGAUCCAAAAACUUGAUCAUCGGAACAAGUUACCCUAGGGAUAACAGCGCAAUCCUAUUUUAGAGUCCAUAUCGACAAUAGGGUUUACGACCUCCAUGUUGGA
rnacentral:rRNA from 1 species